rnacentral:rRNA from 1 species
UACGGGGGGGGCAAGCGUUGUUCGGAAUUACUGGGCGUAAAGGGCGCGUAGGCGGUUCGCUAAGUUGAAUGUGAAAACUCUGGGCUUAACCCAGAGCCUGCAUUCAAUACUGGCGGGCUAGAGUGUGGUAGGGGAGAUCGGAAUUCCUGGUGUAGCGGUGAAAUGCGCAGAUAUCAGGAGGAACACCGGUGGCGAAGGCGGAUCUCUGGGCCAUUACUGACGCUGAGGAGCGAAAGCGUGGGGAGCGAACAGG